GCAAGUCGAGGGGCAGCACGAUCUUCGGAUUGGUGGCGACCGGCGCACGGGUGCGUAACGCGUAUGCAACCUACCCUUAACCGGGGGAUAGCCCGAAGAAAUUCGGAUUAAUACCCCAUAGUAUCUAAAUAUGGCAUCAUAUUUAGAUUAAAGAUUUAUCAGUUAAGGAUGGGCAUGCGUGACAUUAGCUAGUUGGUGAGGUAAUGGCUCACCAAGGCUACGAUGUCUAGGGGUUCUGAGAGGAUGAUC
rnacentral:rRNA from 1 species